rnacentral:rRNA from 1 species
AACGAACGCUGGCGGCAGGCUUAACACAUGCAAGUCGAGCGCCCCGCAAGGGGAGCGGCAGACGGGUGAGUAACGCGUGGGAAUCUACCCAUCUCUACGGAAUAACGCAUGGAAACGUGUGCUAAUACCGUAUACGUCCUUCGGGAGAAAGAUUUAUCGGAGAUGGAUGAGCCCGCGUUGGAUUAGCUAGCUGGUGGGGUAAAGGCCUACCAAGGCGACGAUCCAUAGCUGGUCUGAGAGGAUGAUCAGCCACACUGGGACUGAGACACGGCGCAGACUCUGACGGGCGGCAGCAGUGGGGAAUAUUGGACCAUGGGCGCAAGCCUGAUCCAGCCAUGCCGCGUGAGUGAUGAGGGCCCGAGGGUUGUAAAGCUCUUUCACCGGUGAAGAUAAUGACGGUAACCGGAGAAGAAGCCCCGGCUAACUUCGUGCCAGCCGCCGCGGUAAUAC